AGUGAACGCUGGCGGUAGGCCUAACACAUGCAAGUCGAACGGCAGCACAGUAAGAGCUUGCUCUUACGGGUGGCGAGUGGCGGACGGGUGAGGAAUACAUCGGAAUCUACUUUUUCGUGGGGGAUAACGUAGGGAAACUUACGCUACUACCGCAUACGACCUACGGGUGAAAGCAGUGGAUCUUCGGACCUUGCGCGAUUGAAUGAGCCGAUGUCGGAUUAGCUAGUCGGCGGGGUAAAGGCCCACCAAGGCGACGAUCCGUAGCUGGUCUGAGAGGAUGAUCAGCCACACUGGAACUGAGACACGGUCCAGACUCCUACGGGAGGCAGCAGUGGGGAAUAUUGGACAAUGGGCGCAAGCCUGAUCCAGCCAUGCCGCGUGGGUGAAGAAGGUCUUCGGGUUGUAAAGCCCUUUUGUUGGGAAAGAAAAGCAGCAGGUUAAUACCCCGCUGUUCUGACGGUACCCAAAGAAUAAGCACCGGCUAACUUCGUG
rnacentral:rRNA from 1 species